rnacentral:rRNA from 1 species
UAAUGGCAGGUCAGCAUACUGCCGUGAAUACGUUCCCGGGCCCUUGUACACACCGCCCGUCACACCAUGAGAGUUGGGAAUACCCGAAGCCUGUGAGCUAACGUAAGAGGCAGCAGUCGAAGGUAGAAUCAAUGAUUGGGGUGAAGUCGUAACAAGGUACC